UUCAUGGGAUGGUGUUGUGCAGCCCCGCCCCAGGUGUAGCCCCGCCCUGAUCUGCAGGCUGCAGCCAGGUAUACUUGAGAUCUGCGCGCUCCCGGAGCGCUUCUUCAGCAGUUUUCCGGCUCUGCUCUGGUUGGAUGUGAGGAAUAAUCAGAUCUCAGCUCUUCCAGCCGCUGUCGGACAGCACAUGGAAUCUGACGUCACUGAAGGCUUUGAGUCUGAGGAUCUGCCCGCUCUCUUUCCCUCCUCGGGACGUUCUGGACCAACCGAAGAUCCUACAUCACCUGCGAUGUGCUCAACUAGGUGAAGGAACGAUGCUGAGAUCUUAAUGAGGCCGUGGAUGAAAAUGAUCAGCAGGAACACUGAAGCUGAUUACAGGAUUCUCCAACUUCAGUUUUCAUUUCUAUUUACUUUCCUGUUUACUGUUUUAAUCUCAAACUUUUAAUUUAAUUUAGUAGAUCAAUAAAAAAAAUCUGUCAUAACUUCGAUUUAAAAUGUCAUAAUUUUGACUUUCUUUCAUAAUUCUGACUUUCAUAAUUUCAACAUUGUGUCAUACUUUUGAUUCAGUGGCAUACUUUUAACUUUAAAUCUCAUUAUUUUAAUUUA